UAGGGCUCUCGGCAAUGGAUAUCUUGGCUCUCGCAUCGAUGAAGAGCGCAACGAAAUGCGAUACGUGGUGCGAAUUGCAGAAUCCCGUGAACCAUCGAGUUUUUGAACGCAAGUUGCGCCUGAGGCCAGCUGGCCAAAGGCACGUCCGCCUGGGCGUCAAGCAUUGAAUCGCUCC
rnacentral:rRNA from 2 species